rnacentral:rRNA from 1 species
GGGUUUCCGCCCUUCWGUGCUGCAGCUAACGCAUUAAGUAAUCCGCCUGGGGAGUACGACCGCAAGGUUGAAACUCAAAAGAAUUGACGGGGGCCCGCACAAGCGGUGGAGCAUGUGGUUUAAUUCGAAGCUACGCGAAGAACCUUACCAGGUCUUGACAUCUUCUGACAGUCUAAGAGAUUAGAGGUUCCCUUCGGGGACAGAAUGACAGGUGGUGCAUGGUUGUCGUCAGCUCGUGUCGUGAGAUGUUGGGUUAAGUCCCGCAACGAGCGCAACCCUUAUUACUAGUUGCCAGCAUUAAGUUGGGCACUCUAGUGAGACUGCCGGUGACAAACCGGAGGAAGGUGGGGACGACGUCAAAUCAUCAUGCCCCUUAUGACCUGGGCUACACACGUGCUACAAUGGAUGGUACAACGAGUCGCGAGACCGCGAGGUUAAGCUAAUCUCUUAAAACCAUUCUCAGUUCGGACUGUAGGCUGCAACUCGCCUACACGAAGUCGGAAUCGCUAGUAAUCGCGGAUCAGCAUGCCGCGGUGAAUACGUUCCCGGGCCUUGUACACACCGCCCGUCACACCAUGAGAGUUUGUAACACCCAAAGCCGGUGGGGU